rnacentral:rRNA from 1 species
UACGGAGGGUGCGAGCGUUGUCCGGAAUCACUGGGCGUAAAGGGCGCGUAGGCGGCCCGUCAAGUCCCGUGUGAAAGCCCCUGGCUCAACCGGGGAACGGCGCGGGAAACUAGCAGGCUUGAGUUCGGGAGAGGGAAGCGGAAUUCCGGGUGUAGCGGUGAAAUGCGCAGAUAUCCGGAGGAACACCGGUGGCGAAGGCGGCUUCCUGGACCGACACUGACGCUGAGGCGCGAAAGCUAGGGGAGCAAACGGG